rnacentral:lncRNA from 1 species
CAACAUGGGUGCUGACUGCCUCUAACGUAGUUGUUAAGGCGGCAUAAUGGGGCACAAUGACUAAUUGGCCAUCAUGCCCAGGAUGAAUGCGUCAGACAACAGCGGCUGGCCAGUUCCUGGCCUUGGGACCCCGAGCUGCACAGCCCCAGCACUCUCCCAGUGCACCCCUCCUCCACCUUCCCAAGCUGCCUGAUGGGACCAGCCAAUGAAAGGGUGCAGGGACAGCCACCUUGCAGUUAGCUGAGGUCACGUGACAGCUCUGACCAAUGGGCUGUGGGCAGAAGCAACAAGCACCAUUUCCGGGCUGAAGCAUGGAGAAGCAGAGAAGCAUGUGAUCUCCCCGCAGUCUCUUCCGGUCUUGCGACCCAGAAGGCCUUGUGGUGACAUGGUGGAACUGAGCUGAGCUGGAAGCAGCCCAGGUUGCCAAAUUGUCACUUGGAAGACACCCCUGGCAACCUUUGUAGAGCAGCAAAAUUUCACCCAAGGGGAUCUCCCAUUCCUCUUUCCUGGAAGAGACUCCAGGGUAAGCAAAAAAUAGAUCCCAUCUCACCUCUACAGGGUGUGAGAAUCCUACAGAACUCUUGGUGCAUUUUGUAAAACCACAAACUUCUUGAGUUUGGAAAGAAUUCUGGAGUCUUUCAGUCCUAAGUCACAGACCCCAGCAUUGAUUAUGGAGUCUACAGCAGCACAGAAUUCCAGAGUCACAGAAAUCAAAGCUCCAGGACAGUCCUGGAAAGAAACAGGAGAGCGUGGCCACCCAUCUGCCCAGCCACCAAGGCCUAACCCACCAGCGGGGCUAUAUUGGCUUCUUCUUGGGGACGCCCAGUACAGCAGGCCCCCUGGUCCUCCCUCCCCAGGCCUGUGUCUCACGUCCCCACAGUGGGAUUGCAAGCAAGCUGUC